UUGGAGGGCAAGUCUGGUGCCUGCAGCCGCGGUAAUUCCAGCUCCAAUAGCGUAUAUUAAAGUUGUUGCAGUUAAAAAGCUCGUAGUUGAACUUCAGACCUGACCGGGUGGUCCGCCUAACGGUGUGUACUGUCUGGCCGGGCCUUACCUCUUGGUGAGCCGGCAUGCCCUUAAUUGGGUGUGUCGGGGAACCAGGACCUUUACCUUGAGAAAAUUAGAGUGUUCAAAGCAGGCCUACGCCGGAAUACAUUAGCAUGGAAUAAUAAAAUAGGACGUGCGGUU
rnacentral:rRNA from 1 species